GACGAACGCUGGCGGCGUGCCUAAUACAUGCAAGUUGAGCGCUGAAGGUUGGUACUUGUACCGACUGGAUGAGCAGCGAACGGGUGAGUAACGCGUGGGGAAUCUGCCUUUGAGCGGGGGACAACAUUUGGAAACGAAUGCUAAUACCGCAUAAAAACUUUAAACACAAGUUUUAAGUUUGAAAGAUGCAAUUGCAUCACUCAAAGAUGAUCCCGCGUUGUAUUAGCUAGUUGGUGAGGUAAAGGCUCACCAAGGCGAUGAUACAUAGCCGACCUGAGAGGGGGAUUGGCCCAAUUGGGAACGAGACCAGGCCCAAACCCCUACGGGAGGCAGCAGUAGGGAAUCUUCGGGCAUGGAAGAAAGUCUUACCGAGCAACGCCGCGUGAGUGAAGAAGGUUUUCGGAUUGGAAAAAUCUGUUGGUAGAGAAGAACGUUGGUGAGAGUGGAAAGCUCAUCAAGUGACGGUAACUACCCAGAAAGGGACGGCUAACUACGUG
rnacentral:rRNA from 1 species